rnacentral:lncRNA from 1 species
AAGUUUUGGAGCUGCGGGAGCCGGCCAGUUGGCCUCAGCGCCUCCUUACGGAAUUGGCGUAAGGCAAAGAGGCGCGGCUGGAAGAACCAGACUGAGAAAGUGCCACAGGGCGGGGGCCGCAUCCGCCCCUCGGCUUCUGGUUACUGACCCGACGGCUUUGAGGUCCUGGAACCAAUCCCCUCUGAUACUGAGAGACAACUAUUACACAAGAGAAAUAUUCUACCAUUCACAAAAUCUCGUUUAAGUGUUGUGAAAUACAAACACCAGGGAAUCAAGAACUUUAGAAAAUUGUGGCUGUGUUCCCAUAUGUGGUACAAAGAACCAGUGAGUCCCAUUUGUUGUGGUUCCUGCAUUCGAUGACUCCAGAUGUGCCACCACCGAGCUAGUCUUAUGACAACCUAGAAGGCAAAUUGGGAUGGCCCUAUAUUUGUCACUGAGAGCAGAAGGGUUGAGAACUUAGAUCCUGACAGGAGGCCCACCUUUAUUGGAGAAAUGGCUCUGCAACUUAGCUCAUGUAAGACUGCUGGGAUUUGAAAUUUAUCCUAUUAUUUGAAGACUGAAAUCAAAAUAUGAAGGUGGAGCAUCAUGUGUGCCUUCUGUCUUGUUCUCUACUAGGGUGUAAACCAUUUAACUAAAAAUAGUCUCCAAUUUGACACCUUCCCAACAUUUCACUAGUAUACUCCAAAUCUCCAUGCAGGGUUACAGACCUAUUUCAGCUGGCUCCAUUUACUCUGAGGCAGAUAAAGCUGAGAUUGCAACAUCAGAAGCAGUUCAACCAAUCAUUAUGUACAAACCUCAGCCCAUUUGUAUAAUGCAAUCCUUCUGGUAGUAAUGACACAAAACAUGCCUAUAGGGACGAUCACAACCCUGUCAAAGUCCCAAGUCAUCUGUGGCACCAGGGCCACAGAACUUCUUACCACUUGGAAGCAAAAUAGUUGCUUUAAUGGUAACCAAAUGCCCUCCUUCAAGACAGUAUUUCAAGAAGGAGGAGUAUACGUAUAUUAUACAAACAUAUCCAAUCCCUUUAGAAGAUAAUUAUCAAUAUCAUGCAGGGAAGCUGGAACACACACACAAAAUCGAGUACUAUCUAGAAGAUCAAGCCACAAAUCUCAAGAGAAGCAGUAAGUGUCCAGGGCCUGGGAUUUUUUAUCUUGGCCGUGAGAAUAGCACAGCCCAUGGUGCAGAAACGACAGGCUAGUUGUCCAGCAUAACAUGGUGUUUUAUUUCACCAUAGUAGACUGCUGGGAAAUCUCUGGAGGCCUUGGCAGCUGUGUCUUGUCUUUAAUAUGAAGCCUGGGGGGGAAGACAGAGAGAGAGACUCAUAAUUCACAAGAGGCCCAGCCGUAAGAAAGCCAUUCUAAAUAACUGAAUCAGGCACCGAGGAGGAGCGACUAUUCCAUUCCUAAGUCAAGAAUGCUUUUUGUCUUUCCUUCUCUCCUAAUUGGCUCAUGAAAAGAUCAUUUAUGUGUGGUAGAAUCAGUACAUCAGAGGCAGCUUCUGUUUCUCUCCAUUUCUCCUCCCCACUGCUGCUGUCCUGUAAAAAGACCCUUUGUUACAGACUGAAACAGCAGAUGCAGCUCAGAUAUUAUCUUGAAUAAUUUUGUGGGGAGCAUUUUAUCUUGAAUUGGUGUAAUGCCAUUUUCACGUGGAAAGUGGUUCUAUGUCUGAUCCAAAUGUUCUAGAAACUUGAGAGACCCAUAUGGCAAAGAAGUACUUUACACACAUAUCUCUUUAAAGUAGUGCAGGGUAUGGGAAGAACUGAUAAUGCUGAUUAAAUGAUAUGUAGACGAAAUGAAUGUAAACUGGCAUCAUGGGCUGAGUGAGUCAGGGGAGGCCUUGUGGAAGAGAUAAGAGUAAUAGAAAAUGCUAGGUCAAGUAUGUGUAGAGGCCUGGAGAGAGGAAUGGACUUAGUGGGUCCAAAAGUAAGAAGACUUGUUUGUUGUGAAUACAGAGUUAGAAGUAGGUAGAAGAAAAAGUUGGUCGGGUCCUGCAGAGAUUAAAAAUCCGGUUUAAGAUUUUAGAUUGUUUCAAUCAUCAAUUAGUUGGUGUCUGUGUUCAUUGUGGAAAUGCUUUAAAUAUAGAUAACAAAAAGGAUAAUAACUUACAAUCCUACCAGUCGUAGGAUGAUGAUGGCAGACAAUGUGGUGCACAUUCUUUCAUAUAUUUUAUUGUCCUAGUUUAAGGUUCCCUAUAGGCAGAUCCUGAGAUGAAGAUUUAAAUGCACACCACUUAUUGAGGAGGUGAUUUCAGGAAACACCGGCAGGAGAGUGGGGCAGUAUGACAGGGAAAGAAAGGAAGCAAAAAAAUAAAGGGCAUGUUCUCAAAGGAAUCAGUUGGAGAGCAGUCAUGCUGGAGACACUGGAAGAGAGUAUAGAAGAUGUCUCAAUGUAGUCCUGCCUAGGGAUCAGGAAGUCGAAGUAUUUAUCCACUAAUUCUUGUCAAUUGAGAAUUUAUUUGAGGGGCAUUAACUCUCCAAAACGGUCUCCCUGUGCCGGAAAAAUAACCCUAAGCAGAAUGUUGUAGGUAUUUGCAGCAAAUAGCCCUCAGUGUGUCCUGAGGAUUGGUGUAGUACAUAAAUAUACAAAAUUAUUUUUAUUUAUAAAAAAGCUUUCUAUGCAUCAGGCUCUGUACUGUGUGUUUUACUUGCAUUCACUCAAAAUAGUUCUCACAGAAGCCCUAUGAGGUCGGCGCUACUCUUAUCCCCUGAGGAUUAGAGGCUGGGAGAAGUAUAUAUGAGAGUCAUAUGGAGAUUAAAUACCUGAAGUCAUGAGGAGAUGAUGCACUCUCCAAGAGAGCUUUGAUGACAGCCUAUUUAUGCAGCUUCUGUCAUCUGUACACAUUCUCCUCUUUCUGUCAACAAAGAGUUUUUCUUUUGCAAUUGUAAAUGUCCUCUGUUUUCAGAGACUUUUGUUGGAAAACAAAACAAAAUCUUGAGACAUGAAGGAUCUGUAAUGGACACCUGUCGAUUGUGUCUGUUCAGCAGCUCCUCUCCCACCUGUCUUCCAGUACAACACCUUAUUUCAUUGGAGAGAAAGGUUCUACCUCUUCUCCUUAAGGUUUUAGUGGACAGCCAAACCAGUCUUCAGUCUACAGGGUGAGUAUGAGAUCCAGGCUUGACCAACCAUAGUCACCACCCACUUGGCUACAUCAAAUUGAGCCAGAAAGAGCCUUUCCCUGGGAAUUUAUAUGUAGACUUUGGGAAAAGGAAGCUUUCUUCUCUGAUGUUACUAGACAGCGAUGACAAAACCAGUGCUUGUCUGGACCAUGCUCCACUUCCUCUCCACAGCAAGAUGAGCAAGCUCAUCUGUAGUAGGAAAGAAUGUAGGAAUGCAUCCCCUGCACAGAGAAAAGCGGAGGAGAGAAUGAGAGAGAGAGAGAGAGAGAGAGAGAGAGAGAGAGAGAGAGAGAGAUCUGACUGUACUGCUAAGUCCCUGCAAUCCCCACCAAGGUCUGCAAGGUCUACUUCCCCUAGACUACAACUACCCAUUACUUGUGCCAAAUAUUCAAUAAAUCGUAACCUUAGCAGGGAGAGGGAUGAAGAGAGAUUGAUUAAUGGGUAUGUAUAUACAGUAUGAUAGAAGAAAUAAGACCUAGUAUUUCAUCAGUCAGUAGUAUGACUAUAGUUUACAAUAAUCUAUUGUAUAUUUCAAUAUAGCUAGAAGAGAAGAAUUAGAAUGUUUCUAGCAUAAAGAAAACACAAAUAUUUAAGGUGAUGGGAAUCUCAGUUACACUGAUUUUAUCUUUACAAGGCAUAUGAAUGUUUUAAAUUGUCAUAGUACCCCCAAAAUA